rnacentral:rRNA from 1 species
UACGGAGGGUGCAAGCGUUGCUCGGAAUUAUUGGGCGUAAAGGGUAGGUAGGUGGUCUCAUUUGUCUGGGGUGGAAGCCUUGAGCUUAACUCAAGAAGUGCCCCAGAAACGGUGAGACUAGAGUCCUGGAGAGGGUCGUGGAAUUCCCGGUGUAGCGGUGAAAUGCGUAGAGAUCGGGGGGAACACCAGAGGCGAAAGCGGCGACCUGGACAGGCACUGACACUCAACUACGAAAGCGUGGGGAGCAAACAGG